UUUAAAGAGAGUUUGAUCCUGGCUCAGGACGAACGCUGGCGGCGUGCCUAAUACAUGCAAGUCGAACGAACGGAGGAAGAGCUUGCUCUUCCAAAGUUAGUGGCGGACGGGUGAGUAACACGUGGGCAACCUGCCUGUAAGUUGGGGAUAACUCCGGGAAACCGGGGCUAAUACCGAAUGAUAAAGUGUGGCGCAUGCCACGCUUUUGAAAGAUGGUUUCGGCUAUCGCUUACAGAUGGGCCCGCGGUGCAUUAGCUAGUUGGUAGGGUAAUGGCCUACCAAGGCAACGAUGCAUAGCCGACCUGAGAGGGUGAUCGGCCACACUGGGACUGAGACACGGCCCAGACUCCUACGGGAGGCAGCAGUAGGGAAUCUUCCGCAAUGGACGAAAGUCUGACGGAGCAACGCCGCGUGUAUGAAGAAGGUUUUCGGAUCGUAAAGUACUGUUGUUAGAGAAGAACAAGGAUAAGAGUAACUGCUUGUCCCUUGACGGUAUCUAACCAGAAAGCCACGGCUAACUACGUGCCAGCAGCCGCGGUAA
rnacentral:rRNA from 1 species